UGAGUGUUGAAAUAUGCAAUACAUAAUUGGAACAUUCUAAAAAAUUGUGGAGAUCUCAAGAGACUAACUUUUCCAUGUACAAGGAUAAUAUCAUGGCAAGGUAAGAAGGUUCUAGAAAAUUGGAGAGAAUGCAUGAGCCAUAAUUGACAUACUUCAGGAUGAAGUGUAGAAUACUCUAGAACUAGAUAUUUUAGUAUGGCAGAAAUAUAAGAAACUAGAUAAGGAUGAGGAGGGUUCUAGAGUUAGGAUAUUUUGUAUUAAAGAGUGUGAAAGUUGCCACAUGAAAACACCACAAUGAUCAUGAGCACCUAUAAAUAGAGGUGCUCCCCUCCCUCUUAGCCUAUUUCUCAAUAGUGAGCGAGACCAAUUAUUAGCAUAUACAUACAAAACGUAGUAUAAUUCAUAAAGACUAGACAUUCAGCCGAGAGACAGG
rnacentral:lncRNA from 1 species